UAUUCCUAAAAAUCCCAAAAUGCAACCAUCGUCUCCCCCCUACGAUUUCGCCAGCAACUCGCCAACACCUUCCCCCAAUUCUUUGAUUUGUUUCCUUUUUUUAAAAUAUUGUUUUUAACUUUCUUUUCUCAAUUCUUUUCCUCUUCAAAAUCUAUAAAGAAAUUGCGAUUGGGAGCCAAGAUUUUUGCCCCAAUUUUAGUCUAAAUUGCUGUCAUGAUUGAAGAUUUGCAUGCUCUUCUUUCCAUUUCGACAUCCGUAGGUUCAAAUCAAUUAGAUGAAUAUGGAUAGUUUUCGAGAUCAACUCUUGGGUCAAGUUGGAGUUGCCUGGGAAGGGAAAGAUUUACGGGUUGAUGUUUCAAAGUUUACUUAGAGAAUAAGGUUCAUGUUUAACACCUAGACACCAUGAUUAUAGGAUUUGAUUCACCUCUACAAGUCUAUAUUAAUGUUGAUAACUCUGGAAUCCAUGCUUCUGUUUGUUUAUUUUGAAUGGUUAAUAUAUAUAGCUAUCAGUUAGAUA